CAGGGAUUGCCUCAGUAACGGCGAGUGAAGCGGCAAAAGCUCAAAUUUUAAAGCUGGCACCUCCGGUGUCCGCGUUGUAAUUUUGUGAGGCAUCUCCGGGUGGGGCGCCGGCCUAAGUUCCUUGGAACAGGACGUCAUAGAGGGUGAGAAUCCCGUGCUUGGCUGGCUGUCCCCGUCCAUGUGAGGUGUCUUCGACGAGUCGAGUUGUUUGGGAAUGCAGCUCAAAAUGGGUGGUAAAUUUCAUCUAAAGCUAAAUAUUGGUGGGAGACCGAUAGCGCACAAGUAGAGUGAUCGAAAGAUGAAAAGCACUUUGAAAAUAGAGUUAAAAAGUACGUGAAAUUGUUGAAAGGGAAGCGCUUGAGACCAGACUUCGGUGGGGAGUGAUCAGCCGUCCUUCUGGGCGGUGCACUUGCCCCCCUCCGGGCCAGCAUCGGUUGGGACGGCGGGAUAAAGGUCCCGGGAAUGUGGCUCCUCUCGGGGAGUGUUAUAGCCCGGGUGAAUGCCGCCAGCCCCGACCGAGGACCGCGCCUUCGGGCUAGGAUGCUUGGCAUA
rnacentral:rRNA from 1 species